UACAGAGGGUGCGAACGUUGCUCGGAAUUACUGGGCGUAAAGCGCGUGUAGGCGGAUGGGUAAGUCAGAUGUGAAAUCCCCGGGCUCAACCCGGGAACUGCAUUUGAAACUGCUCGUCUUGAGUGCCGGAGAGGGUGGCGGAAUUCCUGGUGUAGAGGUGAAAUUCGUAGAUAUCAGGAGGAACACCGGUGGCGAAGGCGGCCACCUGGACGGUAACUGACGCUGAGACGCGAAAGCGUGGGGAGCAAACAGGAUUAGAUACCCCAGUAGU
rnacentral:rRNA from 1 species